AGAGUUUGAUCAUGGCUCAGGACGAACGCCGGCGGCGUGCUUAACACAUGCAAGUCGAACGGAAAGGCCCUUCGGGGUGCUCGAGUGGCGAACGGGUGAGUGACACGUGGGUGAUCUGCCCUGCACUUUGGGAUAAGCCUGGGAAACUGGGUCUAAUACCGAAUAGGACUGCGCUCUUCAUGGGGUGUGGUGGAAAGCUUUUGCGGUGUGGGAUGGGCCCGCGGCCUAUCAGCUUGUUGGUGGGGUAAUGGCCUACCAAGGCGACGACGGGUAGCCGGCCUGAGAGGGUGACCGGCCACACUGGGACUGAGAUACGGCCCAGACUCCUACGGGAGGCAGCAGUGGGGAAUAUUGCACAAUGGGCGCAAGCCUGAUGCAGCGACGCCGCGUGAGGGAUGACGGCCUUCGGGUUGUAAACCUCUUUCAGCACAGACGAAGCGCGAGUGACGGUAUGUGCAGAAGAAGGACCGGCCAACUACGUGCCAGCAGCCGCGGUAAUACGUAGGGUCCGAGCGUUGUCCGGAAUUACUGGGCGUAAAGAGCUCGUAGGUGGUUUGUCGCGUUGUUCGUGAAAACUCACAGCUUAACUGUGGGCGUGCGGGCGAUACGGGCAGACUGGAGUACUGCAGGGGAGACUGGAAUUCCUGGUGUAGCGGUGGAAUGCGCAGAUAUCAGGAGGAACACCGGUGGCGAAGACGGGUCUCUGGGCAGUAACUGACGCUGAGGAGCGAAAGCGUGGGGAGCGAACAGGAUUAGAUACCCUGGUAGUCC
rnacentral:rRNA from 1 species